rnacentral:rRNA from 1 species
UACGUAGGCAGCAAGCGUUGUUCGGAGUUACUGGGCGUAAAGGGUGCGUAGGCGGCCGUGUAAGUGUGGUGUGAAAUCUCCCGGCUUAACUGGGAGGGUGCGCUACAGACUGCAUGGCUAGAGUGUGGGAGAGGAAAGUGGAAUUCCCGGUGUAGCGGUGAAAUGCGUAGAGAUCGGGAAGAACACCAAUGGCGAAGGCGACUCUGCUGGGCCGACACUGACACUGGAGAGACGGAAAGCUAGGGGAGCGAAUGGG